UUUCUUGGUGAAGCAACGUUACUACUACGCGAGGGGUUGGUGUGUGUGAGACUCCAGAACGAAUCGCCACUUUACAGCGCACCGGAACGAGCUAAUUAAAAACACUUGCGGUACACGAUCUCCUCGACUCGGGCACGCGUUCUUCGAGUUGGAUUUGAACAUCACUUCACCCGCACAAAUCAAAGAGUGCGUUGAAGAAUGCGAUUUGUGCAGUGUGCGCGCGGGCCCGAAGACAACGGAAGACACGGGCACGCCAAAGGCCACACACAGUAUUUCUCCACUUGCUAGCCAGUCGAUUCGUUAAUCCUCAUCGAACGCCAUCGAAAAUCACUUGUGCCGGCCACUAGCGCAUUUGCUCUUGGCACUUGGCGAAACAAACCACGCGUACAUACGUCGAGGUUCUCGUCGUCAAGUUUGCUUUCCGUUUUCCCCUGAAGCAUUGUUUGGAGCAUCACCCGGCACCCCCCACACUUCCCAGCUCCCGCUUCCACUGGAAAGCUUUUCCGCCCCUGGUCGGAUGCGAGGUGCCCUAAUGAUGUACUUUCCGUUUCAAUCUCGCACGUACACGUCGUCGUUAAUGAACUGCUUUGGUACGUUUUUCGAUCAUCAUCAUCAUCAUCAGCAGCAUCGUCUUCAUCCUCCUCCACGUCGUCGUCGUCGUCGCCGUGGUUCACCCUUCGAGCUGACGCGAUGCGAACGAUCGAUCGAUCACGCUCCGCAGAAGAACAACGUAAGAACCGGACCGGUGGCCGGUCACUUCGUUGGUUCCCGUUGGUGCCUCGUCAGCGGCCCUGGCUUGACGCAUGAGGAGAUCUCGUCCAAGAACAGAAGGAGAGUGAAAAAAAAACAGCAAGACAAAACAAACAAAUAUAUGGUGGCAGGAAAAAUCCAUCAAUUGCCAAGCACACACACAC